rnacentral:tRNA from 1 species
GCCCCCGUAGCUCAGUGGAGAGAGCAGCGGUUUCCUAAACCGCGUGCGCACGUUCGAUUCGUGCCGGGGGCA